AGAUCUGAGUGAGAACUUCAUCCAGUCCAUCCCCAGAAAAGCAUUUAGAGGAGCUACAGACAUCAAAAACCUCCAGCUAGAUAAAAACCACAUCAGCUGCAUUGAGGAUGGAGCCUUCAGAGCUCUCAGAGGCUUGGAAGUGCUAACGCUGAACAACAACAACAUCAGCAGCAUCCCCGUCUCCAGCUUCAACCACAUGCCCAAGCUACGAACCUUCCGUCUCCACUCCAACAAUCUGAACUGUGACUGUCACCUGGCAUGGUUGGCCCAGUGGCUCAGACAAAGGCCUACAAUUGGUCUAUUCACCCAGUGCACUGCCCCUUCUGAGCUCAGAGGACUAAAUGUGGCAGAGGUACAGAAACACGAAUUCAGCU